rnacentral:lncRNA from 1 species
UUUGAAAACCGUAAGAAAAUCAUGGAUUAAAAGACGAAUAUGUUUUAUUAUUAACUGUUAAUAGAUCAGUCGAUGAAAUAGCGGUGACAUUUGGAUUUAACAGGAGUUGAACUUUUGUUUUAUGAAUUUUUAUCCAACCAGUAGUUUUCCGGGAAUGUGUUGCCUUGGUAAAACAAGAUACCUAUAUAUAAAUUUAUGUAUACAAUACUGUCAGUUAUUAUUAUUAUUGAUAAAAACCAGCCCUACUAGACGGAUAUUGGUUAAAGACCAAAAAUUGAAUAACCGAAGAAGUUUAUGGCUGUUAAAAGCCCUCUUCAGUCGUAUACAAGUUAAAACAAAGAUUGAAUGGGAAAAAUCGUUAUUUUAAUUUCACGGAGGGAAGUAAAACGUGUUGUUUUAACUGGUAUACAACCCACCGGGGCUUUCUUCGGAGCCAAAAACUUUUCUGCCCUUAUUCAGUUUUUGUGUUUAACGAAUGUUUUUGUUAAUUUAGUGCCAACGGUCAAGAAACUAUUGGCCAUUUUUAGUAUUACGAAUAUAAUUUCGUUACGUUUUUCUACAGAAAUAAGCAUUAACGUUAUAUCAUCCUAAUUUUUAAAAAAGAAAAAAACUUGGAGAACAACAGCUAUUCGCCGAUCGAAUUCCACAUUCUAUUCCUCAUGUUUUUUCGGAGAGAUCCGAGUCUGGAUCAUUGAUUUUCAGUUCUCGAUACGUCCUCGACGUGGCGAGUACGACCAGUCCACCAACGGUUUCUAACUUCUCUUAUCUUUUCUGUAGAUUUAUUCUGGGAAUAAAAUUUCCAAAUGGCGUAAUCUAACUAAACUAAGAACUUAUACAAUAGCAAAAAACAAAUAUACUAGUCAUUUUCAUACAAAACAUAAGUGGUAAAUCAAUCUUUUCCGUUGUACUGUAUUUUGGGGUUGUG